rnacentral:rRNA from 1 species
CCUACGGGUGGCAGCAGUGGGGAAUAUUGCACAAUGGGGGAAACCCUGAUGCAGCGACGCCGCGUGAGCGAUGAAGUAUUUCGGUAUGUAAAGCUCUAUCAGCAGGGAAGAAAAUGACGGUACCUGACUAAGAAGCCCCGGCUAACUACGUGCCAGCAGCCGCGGUAAUACGGAGGCGGCCAGCGUUAUCCGGAUUUACUGGGUGUAAAGGGAGCGUAGACGGCAUCGCAAGUCAGGAGUGAAAUGCCGGGGCUCAACCCCGGGACUGCAUUGGCAACUGUGAGGCUGGAGUGGCGGAGAGGUAAGUGGAAUUCCUGGUGUAGCGGUGAAAUGCGUAGAUAUUAGGAGGAACACCAGUGGCGAAGGCGGCUUGCUGGACUAUAACUGACGUUGAGGCUCGAAAGCGUGGGGAGCAAACAGGAUUAGAUACCCGAGUAGUC